UACGUAGGGGGCAAGCGUUGUCCGGAAUUAUUGGGCGUAAAGAGCUCGUAGGCGGUUUGUCGCGUCUGCUGUGAAAACCUGAGGCUCAACCUCGGGCUUGCAGUGGGUACGGGCAGACUAGAGUGCGGUAGGGGUGACUGGAAUUCCUGGUGUAGCGGUGGAAUGCGCAGAUAUCAGGAGGAACACCGAUGGCGAAGGCAGGUCACUGGGCCGCAACUGACGCUGAGGAGCGAAAGCAUGGGGAGCGAACAGG
rnacentral:rRNA from 1 species